AUGGCUUCUAUUUCCUGUCACCCCUCUCCUCACUUCUGCAUUUACCCAAGGCUGACCCUCCCUGGAUGUUUCAUACUAAAACUCUGCCAGAGAGAAGAAACGGCAUGCCUCUUAUGCCAGGCUUCAUCACCAGCCACCAGUCUCCAAGCUUUGUCAAUCUCUGUCUCAUGGGCAGAGUUACAUGGCAAAAACACAAGGCUAACACAGCUGAGACAUCUGUAUGCAGGUCAGGAAGCAACAGUUAAAACUGGACAUGAAACAACAGACUGGUUCCAAAUAGGAACAGGAGUACAUCAAGGCUGUAUAUUGUCACCCUGCUUAUUUAACUUCUAUGCAGAGUACAUCAUGAGAAAUGCUGGGCUGGAAGAAGCACAAGCUGGAAUCAAGAUUGCCGGCAGAAAUACCAAGAACCUCAGAUAUGCAGAUGACACCACACUUAUGGCAGAAAGUGAAGAAGAACUAAAAAGCCUCUUGAUGAAAGUGAAAGAGGAGAGUGAAAAACUUGGCUUAAAGCUCAACAUUCAGAAAACGAAGAUCAUGGCAUCCGGUCCCAUCACUUCAUGGCGAAUAGAUGGGGAAACAGUGGAAACAGUGUCAGACUUCAUUUUUCUGGGCUCCAAAAUCACUGCAGAUGGUGACCGCAGCCAUGAAAUUAAAAGACGCUUACUCCUUGGAAGGAAAGUUAUGACCAACCUAGAUAGCAUAUUCAAAAGCAGAGACAUUACUUUGCCAGCAAAGGUCCGUCUAGUCAAGGCUAUGGUUUUUCCAGUGGUCAUGUAUGGUUGUGAGAGUUGGACUGUGAAGAAAGGUGAGUGCCGAAGAAUUGAUGCUUUUGAACUGUGGUGUUGGAGAAGACUCUUGAGAGUGCCUCGGACAGCAAGCAGAUCCAACCAGUCCAUCCUAAAGAUCAGUCCUGAGUGUUCAUUGGAGGGACUGAUGCUAAAGCUGAAACUCCAAUACUUUGGCCACCUGAUGCGAAGAGCUGACUCAUUCGAAAAGACCCUAAUGCUGGGAAAGAUUGAAGGCAGGAGGAAAAGGGGAAGACAGAGGAUAAGAUGGUUGGAUGGCAUCACCAACUCAAUGGACAUGAGUUUGGGUAAAUUCCAGGAGUUGCUGAUGGACAGGGAGGCCUGA
rnacentral:lncRNA from 1 species